AGUUCAUCGGCGGUGGGACUCAUCUGCUUGAGACACCCGCAAUCGCUCAGUACGUCUGCAUCCUGCCGCUAGAAAAUUGUCCAGAAUUUGGCCUCCGCUUCGACAUCUUGGGAUGCGCACAAGAGGAUGAGACGACCUGUGCCGGAAAGUUCAACAGCCUCCGCUUCACCAAUUCGAUGACAUCAGUCACGCUUGACACAAUGUUUCAUGACCGCCUGUCGUCAAUGUCACGUGUGUGUCUUCUGCAGGUUCUACUGUCCGCCCGGGUGUGACAAAGAGGAACACUUUGUCUUCGGAACGAUGGUCUACUCUGCAGUACGGGAUUGCCUGACCCCACCGGUGGACUUCUUGUCUGUGACUGCAACUAUGUGUAAAUUCAGGACUCGCACAUCUGCGCGGCUGCUAUUCACGCUGGAGUCAUUCAGAACAACAUCGGAGAAGAUUGCAUUGUGAUGAGCGCUCCCAAGCAGCACGUUUACUUGGGCUCCACCGGGAACGGGAGCACCUCCAGACAGAGAAGUCCCAUGAAGAGCAACCGACUAAUUAUCACUUUAUUAUUUGCACUGGGUGUGUCUUUUAUGUUUGCGGACAGGGGUGAGUUAAAAAAAAUUUUAGGUCACGCCAACUGUCAUGACGACUAAAACUCACACAGGGUCUCGCCUGCAGAGCCCAGAUGCUCGUCACCUGACUGGGAGGAGUUUGCGGGGUUCUGCUGCAAACAUUUUGACAAUGAAUUGAACUGGGCUGAUGCUCAACGGGUCUGCCGUGGUAUUGGUGCCAAACUGGUGUCCAUCCGCACCGAGGUGGAGCAGGCGUGGGUUAAAGUGCCUCUAACGUUGGCGCGCAUCCCAACCUUAAAUUUCCAACAGUCUCCGUAGAACGACUCGAUGGGUGCAAUAUCUGAGAACCGGAUGAGAGCUCUGUUCCCAUCCGUUCCUGCAGAAACCAGCGACAUGUGGACCGAACUGAACAACCUGGUGCUUCCCGGCACGUUCGUGUGGUCGGACCGCCACAAGGUGACCUUCACCCACUGGGCCAGCGUGUCAGCCUCGGUAAACACUCUGUGGCUGUGUUACGGCAGACUGGAAGAAGAUGGAAGCCAAUGUCUUGCGCCCAAGUCAACAGCUUCAUGUGCAAAAUGCCCCACAGAGCAUUUUCGAAUUGCCUCAUUGAAGCCACAGGUGGCGUCAUAGAGUCAACCUCGCUGUGUCAGUUCCAAACAUCCCAAGACCAAUCGAAGUCCAUGGAGAAAAUUAACAAUGCAAGCAAGACAUCGAAGACGAAAAUUUAAUGCCCUUCCUACUCUGUUCAAAAUAAAAAGUAUCACCAUUUUAACCAAAAAAAACCCACAAAAACAAAAAAAAUGUCACUGACUAAGAUCGACAACAUACCUGUACAGCUGCUGCGAGAAAGCCUGGAGAGCAAACUUAUCAUAAGUGUUUUUGGCAUUUAGCUUAGCUGUUAUUAGCCAACUAGAUGUCAUGUCCAGAUGCAAUGUGAACAAGCGUGCGAUGUUCACUAAGACUCGACUCUACUUGGUUUGUCCUUUUCUCUUGACAACUUUGAAUGCCUUUUUGUAAAGUUACUGACUCAAAGAGCAAAACACGUUGUACAGAAAUUCCAGUGCUUUCAAAGAGCCCAAUUGUAAGAACGUGAGAUAAGAAUAGUUUUGAAGCUGGAAUGAAAGAUUCAAAGUCAAUUAUUGCUCUCGUUCAUUGUUUUGUUUUUACUCAUGUCGUGUUGUCUUGUCCUCAUCGGCCUGUAGAAAGCGAGCCCAGACUUGACAGCUUUUUGUUUUAUUCUACAAACCGGAUUUGGUUGAAGUUGGGAAAUUGUGUAAAAUGUAAAUAAAAACAAAACACAAUUUGAAAAUCCAUUUCAACCUAUAUUCAAUUGAAUACACGACAAAGACAACAUAUUUAA